rnacentral:rRNA from 1 species
GACGAACGCUGGCGGCGUGCUUAACACAUGCAAGUCGAACGGAAAGGCACUGCUUUUGUGGGGUGCACGAGUGGCGAACGGGUGAGGAACACGUGAGUAACAUGCCCUUGACUUUGGGGUAACUUCAGGAAACUGGGGCUACUACCCGAUAGGAGCUACUGCUGCAUGGUGGGGGUUGGCAAGUUUCGGCGGUUGGGGAUGGACUCGCGUCUUAUCAGCUUGUUGGUGGGGUAGCUGCUUACCAAGGCUUUGACGGGUAGCCGGCCUGAUCGGGUGACCGGCCACAUUGGGACUGAGAUCCGGCCCGGACUCCUACGGGAGGCAGCAGUGGCGAAUAUUCCACUACGGGCCGACGCCUGACGCAUCAGCGCCGCGUGCGGGAUGACGGCCCUCGGGUUGUAAACCGCUUUCGCCUGUGGCGAAGCGUGAGUGACGGUAAUGGGUAAAGAAGCACCGGCUAACUACGUG